rnacentral:rRNA from 1 species
GAUGAACGCUGGCGGCGCGCCUAACACAUGCAAGUCGAACGGCACCCCUCUCCGGAGGGAAGCGAGUGGCGAACGGCUGAGUAACACGUGGAGAACCUGCCCCCUCCCCCGGGAUAGCCGCCCGAAAGGACGGGUAAUACCGGAUACCCCGGGGUGCCGCAUGGCACCCCGGCUAAAGCCCCGACGGGAGGGGAUGGCUCCGCGGCCCAUCAGGUAGACGGCGGGGUGACGGCCCACCGUGCCGACAACGGGUAGCCGGGUUGAGAGACCGACCGGCCAGAUUGGGACUGAGACACGGCCCAGACUCCUACGGGAGGCAGCAGUGGGGAAUCUUGCGCAAUGGGGGGAACCCUGACGCAGCGACGCCGCGUGCGGGACGGAGGCCUUCGGGUCGUAAACCGCUUUCAGCAGGGAAGAGUCAAGACUGUACCUGCAGAAGAAGCCCCGGCUAACUACGUGCCAGCAGCCGCGGUAAUACGUAGGGGGCGAGCGUUAUCCGGAUUCAUUGGACGUAAAGCGCGCGUAGGCGGCCGGCAGGCCGGGGGUCGAAGCGGGGGGCUCAACCCCCCGAACCCCCGGAACCUCCGCGGUUUGGGUCCGGUUUGGGAGGGUGGAACACCCGGUGUAGCGGUGGAAUGCGCAGAUAUCGGGUGGAACACCGGUGGCGAAGGCGGCCCUCUGGGCCGAGACCGACGCUGAGGCGCGAAAGCUGGGGGAGCGAACAGGAUUAGAUACCCUGGUAGUCCCAGCCGUAAACGAUGGACGCUAGGUGUGGGGGGACGAUCCCCCCGUGCCGCAGCCAACGCAUUAAGCGUCCCGCCUGGGGAGUACGGCCGCAAGGCUAAAACUCAAAGGAAUUGACGGGGGCCCGCACAAGCAGCGGAGCAUGUGGCUUAAUUCGAAGCAACGCGAAGAACCUUACCAGGGCUUGACAUAUGGGUGAAGCGGGGGAGACCCCGUGGCCGAGAGGAGCCCAUACAGGUGGUGCAUGGCUGUCGUCAGCUCGUGUCGUGAGAUGUUGGGUUAAGUCCCGCAACGAGCGCAACCCCCGCCGCGUGUUGCCAUCGGGUGAUGCCGGGAACCCACGCGGGACCGCCGCCGUCAAGGCGGAGGAGGGCGAGGACGACGUCAAGUCAUCAUGCCCCUUAUGCCCUGGGCUGCACACGUGCUACAAUGGCCGGUACAGAGGGAUGCCACCCCGCGAGGGGGAGCGGAUCCCGGAAAGCCGGCCCCAGUUCGGAUUGGGGGCUGCAACCCGCCCCCAUGAAGUCGGAGUUGCUAGUAAUCGCGGAUCAGCAUGCCGCGGUGAAUGCGUUCCCGGGCCU